CCGCCAGACCUGACUGCUAUCGGAUUGAUACUAAGCCACGCGAGUCGUUGUAGCAAUACAAGGCAUACGGCUCAGUAACGCGUAGUCAACCUAACCUAUGGACGGGAAUAACCUCGGGAAACUGAGAAUAAUGCCCGAUAGAACAUUAUGCCUGGAAUGGUUUAUGUUCCAAAUGAUUUAUCGCCAUAGGAUGGGACUGCGGCCUAUCAGUUUGUUGGUGAGGUAAUGGCCCACCAAGACUAUUACAGGUACGGGCUCUGAGAGGAGUAGCCCGGAGAUGGGUACUGAGACACGGACCCAGGCCCUAUGGGGCGCAGCAGGCGAGAAAACUUUGCAAUGUGCGAAAGCACGACAAGGUUAAUCCGAGUGAUUUCUGCUAAAGAGAUCUUUUGUUAGUCCUAGAAACACUAACGAAUAAGGGGUGGGCAAGUUCUGGUGUCAGCCGCCGCGGUAAAACCAGCACCUCAAGUGGUCAGGAUGAUUAUUGGGCCUAAAGCAUCCGUAGCCGGCUCUGUAAGUUUUCGGUUAAAUCUGUACGCUCAACGUACAGGCUGCCGGAAAUACUGCAGAACUAGGGAGUGGGAGAGGUAGACGGUACUCGGUAGGAAGUGGUAAAAUGCUUUGAUCUAUCGAUGACCACCUGUGGCGAAGGCGGUCUACCAGAACACGUCCGACGGUGAGGGAUGAAAGCUGGGGGAGCAAACCGGAUUAGAUACCCGGGUAGUCCCAGCUGUAAACUAUGCAAACUCAGUGAUGCAUUGGCUUGUGGCCAAUGCAGUGCUGCAGGGAAGCCGUUAAGUUUGCCGCCUGGGAAGUACGUACGCAAGUAUGAAACUUAAAGGAAUUGGCGGGGGAGCACCACAAGGGGUGAAGCCUGCGGUUCAAUUGGAUUCAACGCCGGG
rnacentral:rRNA from 1 species